CCUACGGGUGGCAGCAGUUUUUAAUUUUGCUCCCUGCUCGUCCGCGUGACGCAGCGACGCCGCGUGAAUGACGAAGGCCUUCGGGUCGUAAAGUUCUUUCGACAGGGAAGAAAAUGCCUAUAAGUAACUGUGUAUGUAUUGACGGUACCUGUAUAAGCAGCCCCGGCUAACUCCGUGCCAGCAGCCGCGGUAAUACGGAGGGGGCGAGCGUUGUUCGGAGUGACUGGGCGUAAAGAGCACGUAGGCGGUGUUGUAAGUCAUUAGUCAAAGACUAGAGCUCAACUUUAGUAAGGCUAGUGAUACUAUAAUACUAGAGUAUCAGAGAGGAUUGCACAAUUCCUGGUGUAGCGGUGAAAUGCGUAGAUAUCAGGAGGAAUACCGUUAGCGAAGGCGGCAAUCUGGCUGGAAACUGACGCUGAGGUGCGAAAGCGUGGGUAGCAAACAGGAUUAGAUACCCGUGUAGUC
rnacentral:rRNA from 1 species